rnacentral:rRNA from 1 species
UACGGAGGGGGCUAGCGUUGUUCGGAAUUACUGGGCGUAAAGCGCGCGUAGGCGGCUUUGCAAGUUAGAGGUGAAAGCCCGGAGCUUAACUCCGGAACUGCCUUUAAAACUGCAUCGCUAGGAUCGUGGAGAGGUGAGUGGAAUUCCGAGUGUAGAGGUGAAAUUCGUAGAUAUUCGGAAGAACACCAGUGGCGAAGGCGACUCACUGGACACGUAUUGACGCUGAGGUGCGAAAGCGUGGGGAGCAAACAGG